GCGAAUCGAYGGGUAGCUUGCUCCCUGAGAUUAGCGGCGGACGGGUGAGUAACACGUGGGCAACCUGCCUAUAAGACUGGGAUAACUUCGGGAAACCGGAGCUAAUACCGGAUACGUUCUUUUCUCGCAUGAGAGAAGAUGGAAAGACGGUUUACGCUGUCACUUAUAGAUGGGCCCGCGGCGCAUUAGCUAGUUGGUGAGGUAAUGGCUCACCAAGGCGACGAUGCGUAGCCGACCUGAGAGGGUGAUCGGCCACACUGGGACUGAGACACGGCCCAGACUCCUACGGGAGGCAGCAGUAGGGAAUCUUCCGCAAUGGACGAAAGUCUGACGGAGCAACGCCGCGUGAACGAAGAAGGCCUUCGGGUCGUAAAGUUCUGUUGUUAGGGAAGAACAAGUACCAGAGUAACUGCUGGUACCUUGACGGUACCUAACCAGAAAGCCACGGCUAACUACGUGCCAGCAGCCGCGGUAAUACGUAGGUGGCAAGCGUUGUCCGGAAUUAUUGGGCGUAAAGCGCGCGCAGGUGGUUCCUUAAGUCUGAUGUGAAAGCCCACGGCUCAACCGUGGGAGGGUCAUUGGGAAACUGGGGAACUUGAGUGCAGAAGAAGAAAGUGGA
rnacentral:rRNA from 1 species